GACGAACGCUGGCGGCGUGCCUAAUACAUGCAAGUAGGACGCAGUUGCGAACGGGUGAGUAAUGCGUAGGUAACUACAUAUUCGCGGGGGAUAACUAUUGGAAACGAUAGCUCAUACCGCAUACUAGUAGAUGGACCUGCGUUGUAUUAGCUCGUAGGUUGGGUAAUGGGCUACCUAGGCAACGAUACAUAGCCGACCUGAGAGGGUGAUCGGCCACACUGGGACUGAGACACGGCCCGACCCCCACGGGGGGGAGCAGGAGGGAAACUUUGGAAAAUGGGGGAAACCUGAACGAGCAACGGCGGGUGGGUGAAAAAAGGUUUCGGGUCGGAAAGCUCUGUUUGUAAGGGAGCGGUACUUAACCAGAAAGGGACGGCUAACUACGUGCCAGCAGCCGCGGUAAUAC
rnacentral:rRNA from 1 species